rnacentral:rRNA from 1 species
UACGUAGGGGGCGAGCGUUGUCCGGAUUUACUGGGCGUAAAGGGUGAGUAGGCGGUUAUAUAUGUCAGGUGUAAAAAGCUAUGGCUUAACCAUAGUAAGCACUUGAAACUGUAUGACUUGAGUGCAGGAGAGGUAAGCGGAAUUCCUAGUGUAGCGGUGAAAUGCGUAGAUAUUAGGAGGAAUACCAGUGGCGAAGGCGGCUUUCUGGACUGACCCUGACGCUGAGGUGCGAAAGCGUGGGUAGCAAACAGGAUUAGAUACCAGCGUAGU